UGGGGAAUAUUGGACAAUGGGCGAAAGCCUGAUCCAGCCAUGCCGCGUGUGUGAAGAAGGUCUUCGGAUUGUAAAGCACUUUAAGUUGGGAGGAAGGGCAUUAACCUAAUACGUUAGUGUUUUGACGUUACCGACAGAAUAAGCACCGGCUAACUCUGUGCCAGCAGCCGCGGUAAUACAGAGGGUGCAAGCGUUAAUCGGAAUUACUGGGCGUAAAGCGCGCGUAGGUGGGUUGUUAAGUUGGAUGUGAAAUCCGCGGGCUCAACCUGGGAAAUGCAUUCAAAACUGACUGACUAGAGUAUGGUAGAGGGUGGUGGAAUUUCCUGUGUAGCGGUGAAAUGCGUAGAUAUAGGAAGGAACACCAGUGGCGAAGGCGACCACCUGGACUAAUACUGACACUGAGGUGCGAAAGCGUGGGGAGCAAACA
rnacentral:rRNA from 1 species